GGGAUGUUGGACCGAGUGGUAAGGCCACAGACUGCAAAUCUGUGAUGGUCGAGAGACCCGGCGGUUCGAUUCCGCCACAUUCCUCCA
rnacentral:tRNA from 1 species